AACGAACGCUGGCGGCAUGCCUAACACAUGCAAGUCGAACGAGACCUUCGGGUCUAGUGGCGCACGGGUGCGUAACGCGUGGGAACCUGCCUUUAGGUUCGGAAUAACUCAGAGAAAUUUGAGCUAAUACCGGAUGAUGUCUUCGGACCAAAGAUUUAUCGCCUUUAGAUGGGCCCGCGUUGGAUUAGCUAGUUGGUGGGGUAAAGGCCUACCAAGGCGACGAUCCAUAGCUGGUCUGAGAGGAUGAUCAGCCACACUGGGACUGAGACACGGCCCAGACUCCUACGGGAGGCAGCAGUGGGGAAUAUUGGACAAUGGGCGAAAGCCUGAUCCAGCAAUGCCGCGUGAGUGAUGAAGGCCGUAGGGUUGUAAAGCUCUUUUACCCGAGAUGAUAAUGGCAGUAUCGGGAGAAUAAGCUCCGGCUAACUCCGUG
rnacentral:rRNA from 1 species